AUGAAAAUAAUAAGUUGGAACUGCUGGGGACUCGGGAACGGCCCGGCAGUUCGGUCUCUCCUUGAGCUAGGGAGAGUGGAGGAUCCCGAUGUUUUGUUCUUAGCUGAAACACGGUUGACAGAGAAGGAAUUGGACAGGUUCCGCUGGUUGUUAGGGCUCACUAACAUGACGGCGUGGAACCCAGUAGGGAGGAGUAGAGGAGUAGCGAUGUUCUGGAGAAGGGGGCUUGAUAUAUCACUCAGAUCCUUUGGGCGGAGGCACAUCGAUGUGGAUGUGAAGGAGGAAAACGGGUCGGUAUGGCGACUAACAGGUGUCUAUGGAGAGUCUGCAAUGGAGAGGAAGAAGGAAACUUGGAGAACUCUCAGGCUACUAAAAUAG
rnacentral:rRNA from 1 species